UGGUGUUGGUGAUAGUGCUGGUGAUGGUUAUGAUGUUGGUGUUGGUGAUAGUGCUGGUGAUGGUCAUGAUGUUGGUGUUGGUGAUGCUGAAGGUGUUGAUGUUGGUGUUGGUGAUAGUGCUGGUGAUGGUGUUGAUGUUGGUGUUGGUGAUAGUGCUGGUGAUGGUUAUGAUGUUGGUGUUGGUGAUAGUGCUGGUGAUGGUCAUGAUGCUGAUGGUGUUGGUAAUGGUGAUGGUAUUGAUGGUAUUGCUGUUGUGAGCAGUGGUGUGUGGGAUGGAGAGAUGAAGAAGAAGAAGAAGAAGAAGAAGAAGAAGAAGAAGAAGAAGAAGAAGAGCAGGAGGCGGAGAACGAGGAGGAGGAGAAAAUGAAUGAUGGCAGUAUUGGAGCUGCAAAGAG
ensembl:lncRNA